AUAACUAUUGGAAACGAUGGCUAAUACCGCAUGAUGCCUACGGGCCAAAGAGGGGGACCUUCGGGCCUCUCGCGUCAGGAUAUGCCUAGGUGGGAUUAGCUAGUUGGUGAGGUAAGGGCUCACCAAGGCAACGAUCCCUAGCUGGUCUGAGAGGAUGAUCAGCCACACUGGAACUGAGACACGGUCCAGACUCCUACGGGAGGCAGCAGUGGGGAAUAUUGCACAAUGGGCGCAAGCCUGAUGCAGCCAUGCCGCGUGUAUGAAGAAGGCCUUCGGGUUGUAAAGUACUUUCAGCAGUGAGGAAGGCGGAUACGUUAAUAGCGUAUUCGUUUGACGUUAGCUGCAGAAGAAGCACCGGCUAACGCCGUGCCAGCAGCCGCGGUAAUACGGAGGGUGCGAGCGUUAAUCGGAAUUACUGGGCGUAAAGCGCAUGCAGGUGGUUUGUUAAGUCAGAUGUGAAAGCCCGGGGCUCAACCUCGGAAUAGCAUUUGAAACUGGCAGACUAGAGUACUGUAGAGGGGGGUAGAAUUUCAGGUGUAGCGGUGAAAUGCGUAGAGAUCUGAAGGAAUACCGGUGGCGAAAGCGGCCCCCUGGACAGAUACUGACACUCAGAUG
rnacentral:rRNA from 1 species